GAGGGAAGCAUCAGAAGAAGAUGGCUUGCUAUUGUCACUCAGCCAGUCCAGUGUUUCCAGUUCAUACAGCUCUGACCUUGCAAAAAAGGAGGUAGGGCUAAAAUAAAAUCAAGAGUAAAAUGGCUCCCCCAAUUCAGUCUAAUUGAGUCAUGUGAGAGGAAUUUCUGCAGUACUGCCAUUUUCCCAGGACAGACUCUAAUGGCCCCAUACACACAGGAUCAAGCUGAGGCGUUCAUUGCUGCAGGUGAAGGAAAGCCGAUAAGGGGGCCAAAUGCAUCUUAAUUUAAUCCUGGUAGUGGGAUGGUAUCCUUCAUCCCACGUGAGGGCAGACGACCAGUUUGAAGCAGGAGGGAACUUCUUGUUUAGGCUGUUUGACUAUAGCUCUCUUUUAUAAGUUUCCAUCAAGGGAACAGUCAAAAUGUUCAGGCAGAGCAGACAGGGAUGGAUGUUAUUGCCCUUCCCCUGACUGAGUUUAAAGCAGGGCCAGCCCUUUCAACAGUUAACAUAUUGCUGCUUUUAUUUGCUUGGGCCUGUUUAAUGUUCCAAUGUGAGUUCCACUGAGUUUUGGUGGUGGUCAUGCUGUCCUCCAUCUUCCAUCAUAUUCCUGCAUUUCUCAAACAAACCCUGUUCUGUGCUGCUGUAAUGGCACUUGUCUCUCUGUCUAAAUUCCUCCCUUAUCCCCACUGUGACUGCCUAUUUACACUUACUGCUACUGUCAUUGUCAGCUGGGUUUGCCAUCUGCUUCCAGCACUGAGAUUAGAUCACAUUUUGUGAUUUAUUCAGGCAAGCCAGAUUUUUUUAAUGUCAAUUAGUGCUAUCCAUGAAUUUAGGGCUGGAGUAAAGUAAAUUGUCACAAAGUGUAUUGUUUAUUAGGUUUGUGCAGCUGAGGGCCAGCGUGGUACAGUAAUCUGAGUUGUUUGACCAGGGUUCAAAUCCUAACUCAGCUGUGGAAACUCACCAUGUGAGCUUGGGUUGAGAGAUCUUGUGAUUGUCAGGGCUAGUGAUGAGGAUGAAGUUGAAGGACUGCUUCGCCUAGCAUCUGAGUCAUGAGCAAGCAGAGAGCAGCAACCUGACUCUGAGGAAUCUACCCUGCAGAGCAGGACCAGGAGCCUCAGAGAAGUAGGGACACAGAUUUAGGGCAGGAUCAGGAGCUCCAGGAAGCAGAAGAAGAGUUAAGCAUUCCAGCUAGGCUGCAAUUAAGAACUGAUGCCAUCCAACUGAGGACAUCUAAUUUGUUGGCUCAGAGGAAGUUCAACAAGUGACAGCACUUGGGAAAGCAGCACAAAUAGCUGGAAGAUGGUUCUGGUAGUUUGCUGGGAGCAAUGUUUGUGGAACUGUUACAUCCGGAAUAUGUGUUGGAUGGAACUUUGGAUUUGGUGAUUGAAUUAUGUUUUUGGAUUAUGACUUGGAUUGGUGAUAUAGCUUAGCUUUGACCCUUGGAAAGAACUCUGAACACUUUGUAUGCUUUGCCCAUGUUGGACUGCUUGCUGUGUUUGACUACGAGACGGAAGCCUUGAUGGAAACAGUGUAAAACUGCCUUCUUUUCUUUUUACUUCAAAGCCAACAUAACAAAUCACCAGCAACAGUGCCAUGGCCACAGACUGUAUAGAAAUACCUGAAGUGAUUCCAGCUUUUGG